UUGUAAAUUCCAUAUCUAGAGAAUGAUGUUAAUGCUGUUAAAACAAACAAUUUUGAAAAUAUUUUAAUGGGUUUUCACCCAGUUUACUGAUUUACCACUGGCUAACAGUACACUGUAGACUAAACAGUGCAGUGUCUUUUAGGCUGGCAUGUAGUGUUCCUAAGAUGUGAAGGAGUAAUUAUUAAAAGAAUUUCAGGAAAGCACACUGUGCAAUACGUGCUGAUGCCUUGUCCCAUGAUCCUUGCUAGGAAAAAUGCCCUGAAACAAUGGGAGUUUAGCCUGAGUAAGGACUCACAAUGGAGAGCCUUUGAAUCCAUCAAGGCAGCUAAUGCCCAGGCAAGCGCAAAAGUAAAACAAGACAAGAAAUGGGCUUGAAUUCUCCUGUGUGACAUAUCUCAGUUUGACACUCAGCAUCUGCAGGAAACUGGGAUACAAUUUUCAGAGGGUUCUUCUUAUGAAAUGAUCUAGACUAUUAAUUUUUUAUUAACUCUGGGAAUUUCAACCUGUAUUAAUAAAAAUCCAAGUAUUUAACUUU